GACCCAAUUCUACAAGGUACAGAAGUAUUCUACAAGGUACAGAAUAAAAAGCCUCGCCCCCAGACAUAGAUGCCUGACACCAUUAGCCCUCCAACUCCAUUAUCCUGCGCGAUCUAUCACGUAGACAAUGCCCCAAACUCCCAGUAUUCUGCUGUACUCUGGCUAAAUUCCACCCUCAGUCAACUUACCACUGCCAGGUAUUUUCUCACCACAAGAUAUUCUCCAGGCUGGUGGCCUCCCAGAACCCUUAGAUCUCUGCAACACUGACAGGCCAUUGGAUGUGAUUAGAAGCAAGGGAUAGGACCACUGGCCAAGCAGAUGGUGAGAAUAGCUAAUUGACCCGCUUGAGGAGAUGAUGAGCUGCUCAGACUCUGCUUUCAUUAAAGGAAAUAAAUAAUAAAUUGCAUCUGUUUUCACAGAUUGAAAGUA